CCUUAGGGNAAAANCGCAUAGGGGAAAUUAUGACAUGACUUCAAGGCAAACCCAGAAACCCCGAGGGGGGAAGAAAGCUUGAAGGAUGAUAACCUCUUGUUAGAGGGGAUGAAUAAUCAGGGAAGAAUACAGAGACGAUACUACCGUAAGAAAAAUGCCCCGGAUAACUACCUACCAGCAGCCGAGGUAAUAGGAGGCGGCAAGAUCGUCAAGCAUUCAGGGUAAAAAAGGGCCAGCAGGCGUGUUAACAAGUCAGAGGAGAAAUCAUGCAGAUCAUCGGUAGAACGGCGUAAGAAACAUUUAAUGAGGAGUUCGGAAGAGGGAGGA
rnacentral:rRNA from 1 species